AAAUUGAAGAGUUUGAUCAUGGCUCAGAUUGAACGCUGGCGGCAGGCCUAACACAUGCAAGUCGAACGGUAACAGGAAGCAGCUUGCUGCUUCGCUGACGAGUGGCGGACGGGUGAGUAAUGUCUGGGAAACUGCCUGAUGGAGGGGGAUAACUACUGGAAACGGUAGCUAAUACCGCAUAAUGUCGCAAGACCAAAGAGGGGGACCUUCGGGCCUCUUGCCAUCGGAUGUGCCC
rnacentral:rRNA from 1 species